rnacentral:rRNA from 1 species
UGGGGAAUAUUGCACAAUGGGGGAAACCCUGAUGCAGCGACGCCGCGUGGAGGAAGAAGGUCUUCGGAUUGUAAACUCCUGUUGUUGAGGAAGAUAAUGACGGUACUCAACAAGGAAGUGACGGCUAACUACGUGCCAGCAGCCGCGGUAAAACGUAGGUCACAAGCGUUGUCCGGAAUUACUGGGUGUAAAGGGAGCGCAGGCGGGAAGACAAGUUGGAAGUGAAAUCUAUGGGCUCAACCCAUAAACUGCUUUCAAAACUGUUUUUCUUGAGUAGUGCAGAGGUAGGCGGAAUUCCCGGUGUAGCGGUGGAAUGCGUAGAUAUCGGGAGGAACACCAGUGGCGAAGGCGGCCUACUGGGCACCAACUGACGCUGAGGCUCGAAAGUGUGGGUAGCAAACAGGAUUAGAUACCCUGGUAGUCCACACCGUAAACGAUGAUUACUAGGUGUUGGAGGAUUGACCCCUUCAGUGCCGCAGUUAACACAAUAAGUAAUCCACCUGGGGAGUACGACCGCAAGGUUGAAACUCAAAGGAAUUGACGGGGGCCCGCACAAGCAGUGGAGUAUGUGGUUUAAUUCGACGCAACGCGAAGAACCUUACCAAGUCUUGACAUCCUGCGACGAUGCUGGAAACAGUAUUUUCCUUCGGGACGCAGAGACAGGUGGUGCAUGGUUGUCGUCAGCUCGUGUCGUGAGAUGUUGGGUUAAGUCCCGCAACGAGCGCAACCCCUAUUGUUAGUUGCUACGCAAGAGCACUCUAGCGAGACUGCCGUUGACAAAACGGAGGAAGGUGGGGACGACGUCAAAUCAUCAUGCCCCUUAUAUCCUGGGCUACACACGUAAUACAAUGGCGGUCAACAGAGGGAAGCAAAGCCGCGAGGCAGAGCAAACCCCCAAAAGCCGUCCCAGUUCGGAUUGUAGGCUGCAACUCGCCUGCAUGAAGUCGGAAUCGCUAGUAAUCGCGGAUCAGCAUGCCACGGUGAAUACGUUCCC